GGGCGCAUAGCUCAGUUGGUAGAGCAGCUGACUCUUAAUCAGCGGGUCCACAGUUCGAGCCUGUGUGCGCCCACCA
rnacentral:tRNA from 2 species